CGCAGGGUCCCCGCCCCGCCCGCGCCACGCGCCAGGGUGUGCACACGCGUCCAGCCGGUAACCCGCGGGAAGAGGAGCCAGCGGGAGCCGGGGUGCAGAGGCCUGUGGGCUGCGGGACCCCUCAAAAAGCCAAAGCAGCCGGUCUACUCCUUGGGGAAUUUUAACAACGAAAAGAGGAGGAGGAGCUGGCCUCUCACCUUUCCGCACCCUUCCGGGCCAUCACACCACGCUUACCUGCGCAGCAUAAUCCCUUUCUUCCUGGCCUCCUCAGCCUCUGCCUGUGCAGCCUGCUCUCCCCACAGCAGCUCAAGGGGCCAGGAGAACCCGACUCACAGAACAUCCCUCCUCUGCCUAGAAUCCUUAAAGUUCCCUCCUCACUCAGAAAAAAGCCCAAUUCCUCCCUGGGGAUAGUGGCACAUACCUGUCAUCCCACUACUCAGGAGGCUGAGGCAGGAGGAUUACUGCAAGGCAAGGCCAGCCUGGACUACAUAGCAAGAUCCUGUCACAAAAACUAAACAAGCAAACAAAAAAAUCUGAAAAGCCCCUCACUCUUGAAAAUCAAGGCAGGAUAUCUGUGACCCUUCCCCUGGCUUCAUCUCCCUCUAAUUGUCUACCUAACUCUUUUUGUUUUUGUUUUUGUUUUUAUUUAUUGAGACAGGGUCUCGCUGUGUAGUCCAGGCUGGUUUGGAACUCACUGGCCUUGAACCUAGAGCGAUCCUCCCACCUCAGUCUCCCAAGUGCUGGGAUGACAGGUAUGCACCACCACGCCUGAUUACUUUACAGACAGCCCACCCAUUUUACAGAUGAACAACCCCAGUGGAUAGAGGUGUCCUGAGCCCGGGCCUGCCGGAAUCCUGUCCCUGCCAACCUGGAUCCAGACUGCCUCCCUGGAUGCCACAAGGGAACCCUGCCAGGAUCUGGCUCCAACCUUCCAGUGUGCAUUUACUCAGCAGGCGCUGUGCUGCUGAGCUAAAUCCCCAGCCCCUGGCCUCCAUUUCAUGGCGAUAUUUCUGCCUCAGCCUCCCAAGUGCCGGAAUUACAGAUGUGCACCACCACUUCUGGUUAAUAAAGCUAUCUCAAAAAACACUGGGUGAGUCGAACGUGGUACCUCACACCUGACAUCCCAGCAUGCUGGGAAGUUGAGGCAGGAGGAUGACAAGUUUGAGCCUAGCCUGGGCCAUUUAGUGACUUACUGAGACCUCAGUUCAACAUAAAAAAUAA
rnacentral:lncRNA from 1 species